rnacentral:rRNA from 1 species
ACGGGUGAGUAACACGUGGGCAACCUGCCCUUGAGACUGGGAUAACUUCGGGAAACCGGAGCUAAUACCGGAUAAUAUAAGGAACCUCCUGGUUCCUUGUUGAAAGAUGGUUUCGGCUAUCACUUAAGGAUGGGCCCGCGGCGCAUUAGCUAGUUGGUGAGGUAACGGCUCACCAAGGCGACGAUGCGUAGCCGACCUGAGAGGGUGAUCGGCCACACUGGGACUGAGACACGGCCCAGACUCCUACGGGAGGCAGCAGUAGGGAAUCUUCCACAAUGGACGAAAGUCUGAUGGAGCAACGCCGCGUGAGUGAUGAAGGCCUUCGGGUCGUAAAGCUCUGUUGUUAGGGAAGAACAAGUGCGAGAGUAACUGCUCGCACCUUGACGGUACCUAACCAGAAAGCCACGGCUAACUACGUGCCAGCAGCCGCGGUAAUACGUAGGUGGCAAGCGUUAUCCGGAAUUAUUGGGCGUAAAGCGCGCGCAGGUGGUUUCUUAAGUCUGAUGUGAAAGCCCACGGCUCAACCGUGGAGGGUCAUUGGAAACUGGGGAACUUGAGUGUAGAAGAGGAAAGUGGAAUU